rnacentral:rRNA from 1 species
GACGAACGCUGGCGGCGCGCUUAACACAUGCAAGUCGUGCGGUACCGAUGGCAAGUCUUCAUGACGAGCCUUCGGUAUAGCGGCGGACGGGUGAGUAACACGUGAGUAGCUGUCCUAGGGAGGGGGAUAACGCCUGGAAACGGGUGCUAAAAACCCCAUAAGCCUCGCAAGAGGUGAAAGUGUACUUGUUACAGCCUUAGGGUGUGCUCGCGGCCUAUCAGCUAGUUGGUGAGGUAAGGGCUCACCAAGGCUAAGACGGGUAGCCGGCCUGAGAGGGUGUACGGCCACACUGGAAUUGAGAUACGGUCCAGACUCCUACGGGAGGCAGCAGUGGGGAAUUUUGGGCAAUGGGCGAAAGCCUGACCCAGCGACGCCGCGUUGGGGAUGAAGUCCUUCGGGCGUAAACCCAUGUUGUAGGGAAGAAGAAAGUGACGGUACCCUACGAGAAAGCCCCGGCCAACUAACGUGCCAGCAGCCGCGGUAAGAUAGCGUACU